rnacentral:rRNA from 1 species
AGCCGACGGUAAUACGGUAGGUGGCAAGCGUUGUCCGGAAUUAUUGGGCGUAAAGCGCGCGCAGGCGGCUUCUUAAGUCCAUCUUAAAAGUGCGGGGCUUAACCCCGUGAUGGGAUGGAAACUGAGAGGCUGGAGUAUCGGAGAGGAAAGUGGAAUUCCUAGUGUAGCGGUGAAAUGCGUAGAGAUUAGGAAGAACACCGGUGGCGAAGGCGACUUUCUGGACGACAACUGACGCUGAGGCGCGAAAGCGUGGGGAGCAA